UCCUCGAUAGCUCAACGGUAGAGCAUCCGGCUGUUAACCGGAGGGUUGCAGGUUCGAAUCCUGCUCGGGGAG
rnacentral:tRNA from 1 species